ACCUGAUACUCGUCAGCUCAUCACCCACCUGUAGUUAAUCUGCUCGUUUGGACUGGUAUAAGUUGGCUCCCAAACAAGUCCUCAGUGCAAGUGUGUGCCGUUACCAGCUGUAGUGAGCUCUAUUGGCAUCUCCUGAAGUUUUCGUUUCCUGUGCAGACAUUUGCUUGUGGACUCCUCGUGCUUCUCCCUGAAGUUUUGAAGGUUCCUCGAGGGCC